AUUGAACGCUGGCGGCAGGCCUAACACAUGCAAGUCGAACGAGUGGCGGACGGGUGAGUAAUGUCUGGGAAACUGCCUGAUGGAGGGGGAUAACUACUGGAAACGGUAGCUAAUACCGCAUACCAUCUGAUGUGCCCAGAUGGGAUUAGCUAGUAGGUGGGGUAAAGGCUCACCUAGGCGACGAUCCCUAGCUGGUCUGAGAGGAUGACAAGCAACACUGCAAAGGAGCCAAGGCACAGACUCCUAAGGGAGGCAGGAGAGGGGUAUAUAGCACAAUGGGCGCAAGCGUGAUGUGACCAUGCCGCGUGUCUGAAGAAGGGCUGGGGGUAGGAAAGUACUUUCAGCGGGGAGGCGUUACCCGCAGAAGAAGCACCGGCUAACUCCGUGCCAGCAGCCGCGGUAAUAC
rnacentral:rRNA from 1 species